rnacentral:rRNA from 1 species
AUUGAACGCUGGCGGCAGGCCUAACACAUGCAAGUCGAGCGGAUGAAGGGAGCUUGCUCCUGGAUUCAGCGGCGGACGGGUGAGUAAUGCCUAGGAAUCUGCCUGGUAGUGGGGGAUAACGUCCGGAAACGGGCGCUAAUACCGCAUACGUCCAGAGGGAGAAAGUGGGGGAUCUUCGGACCUCACGCGAUCAGAUGAGCCUAGGUCGGAUUAGCUAGUUGGUGGGGUAAAGGCCUACCAAGGCGACGAUCCGUAACUGGUCUGAGAGGAUGAUCAGUCACACUGGAACUGAGACACGGUCCAGACUCCUACGGGAGGCAGCAGUGGGGAAUAUUGGACAAUGGGCGAAAGCCUGAUCCAGCCAUGCCGCGUGUGUGAAGAAGGUCUUCGGAUUGUAAAGCACUUUAAGUUGGGAGGAAGGGCAGUAAGUUAAUACCUUGCUGUUUUGACGUUACCAACAGAAUAAGCACCGGCUAACUUCGUG